rnacentral:rRNA from 3 species
UCAAGUAAUUAAGUGCAUGUGGUGGAUGCCUUGGCAGUCAGAGGCGAUGAAAGACGUGAUAGCCUGCGAAAAGCUCCGGGGAGGCGGCAAAUAUCCUUUGAUCCGGAGAUGUCUGAAUGGGGGAACCCACCUACUUUAAGGUAGGUAUUGCAACAUGAAUACAUAGUGUUGCAAGGCGAACGAGGGGAAGUGAAACAUCUCAGUACCCUUAGGAAAAGAAAUCAAUUGAGAUUCCCUCAGUAGCGGCGAGCGAACGGGGAUCAGCCCAUUAAGUUAUGUGUGUUUUAGUGGAACGCUCUGGGAAGUGCGAACGUAGAGGGUGAUAUUCCCGUACACGAAAGGGCACACAUAAUGAUGACGAGUAGGGCGAGGCACGUGAAACCUUGUCUGAAUAUGGGGGGACCAUCCUCCAAGGCUAAAUACUCCUGACUGACCGAUAGUGAACCAGUACCGUGAGGGAAAGGCGAAAAGAACCCCUGUGAGGGGAGUGAAAUAGAUCCUGAAACCGCAUGCAUACAAGCAGUGGGAGCACCUUCGUGGUGUGACUGCGUACCUUUUGUAUAAUGGGUCAGCGACUUAUAUUCAGUAGCGAGGUUAACCGUAUAGGGGAGCCGUAGAGAAAUCGAGUCUUAAUAGGGCGUUUAGUUGCUGGGUAUAGACCCGAAACCAGGCGAUCUAUCCAUGAGCAGGUUGAAGGUUGGGUAACACUAACUGGAGGACCGAACCCACUGUCGUUGAAAAGCCAGGGGAUGACUUGUGGAUAGGGGUGAAAGGCUAAUCAAGCCUGGUGAUAGCUGGUUCUCCCCGAAAGCUAUUUAGGUAGCGCCUCGGACGAAUACCAUAGGGGGUAGAGCACUGUUUCGGCUAGGGGGUCAUCCCGACUUACCAAACCGAUGCAAACUCCGAAUACCUAUGAGUACUAUCCGGGAGACAGACUGCGGGUGCUAACGUCCGUAGUCAAGAGGAAAACAAUCCAGACCGCCAGCUAAGGCCCCAAAAUCAUAGUUAAGUGGGAAACGAUGUGGGAAGGCAUAGACAGCUAGGAGGUUGGCUUAGAAGCAGCCACCCUUUAAAGAAAGCGUAAUAGCUCACUAGUCGAGUCGGCCUGCGCGGAAGAUGUAACGGGGCUAAAACUAUGUGCCGAAGCUGCGGAUGUAUACUUUGUAUACGUGGUAGGGGAGCGUUCUGUAAGCCGAUGAAGGUGUGUUGAGAAGCAUGCUGGAGGUAUCAGAAGUGCGAAUGCUGACGUGAGUAACGACAAAACGGGUGAAAAACCCGUUCGCCGAAAGACCAAGGGUUCCAGUCCAACGUUAAUCGGGGCUGGGUGAGUCGACCCCUAAGGCGAGGCCGAAAGGCGUAGUCGAUGGGAAAAUGGUUAAUAUUCCAUUACUUCUGUGUAAUGCGAUGAGAGGACGGAGAAGGCUAAAUCAGCCUGGCGUUGGUUGUCCAGGUGAAAGGAAGUAGGCAUGUAUCUUAGGCAAAUCCGGGGUACUCUAUGCUGAGAUCUGAUAGCAAGCUGUACUUGUACAGCGAAGUGGUUGAUGCCAUGCUUCCAGGAAAAGUCUCUAAGCUUCAGUUACACAGGAAUCGUACCCGAAACCGACACAGGUGGUCAGGUCGAGUAGACCAAGGCGCUUGAGAGAACUCUGCUGAAGGAACUAGGCAAAAUGGUACCGUAACUUCGGGAGAAGGUACGCUGUUGUUGGUGAUGGAACUCGCUUCCUGAGCUGACGACAGCCGCAGAAACCAGGCCGCUGCAACUGUUUAUUAAAAACAUAGCACUCUGCAAACACGAAAGUGGACGUAUAGGGUGUGAUGCCUGCCCGGUGCUGGAAGGUUAAUUGAUGGGGUUAGCGUAAGCGAAGCUCUUGAUCGAAGCCCCAGUAAACGGCGGCCGUAACUAUAACGGUCCUAAGGUAGCGAAAUUCCUUGUCGGGUAAGUUCCGACCUGCACGAAUGGCAUAAUGAUGGCGGCGCUGUCUCCAGCAGAGGCUCAGUGAAAUCGAAAUCGCUGUGAAGAUGCAGUGUACCCGCGGCUAGACGGAAAGACCCCGUGAACCUUUACUGCAGCUUGACACUGAACUUUGACCUUACUUGUGUAGGAUAGGUGGGAGGCUUUGAAGCUGGAACGCUAGUUCCAGUGGAGCCGUCCUUGAAAUACCACCCUGGUAAUGUUGAGGUUCUAACUCUGUCCCGUGAUCCGGGACGAGGACCGUGUCUGGUGGGUAGUUUGACUGGGGCGGUCUCCUCCUAAAGAGUAACGGAGGAGUACGAAGGUGCGCUCAGCGUGGUCGGAAAUCACGCGUAGAGUAUAAAGGCAAAAGCGCGCUUAACUGCGAGACCCACAAGUCGAGCAGGUACGAAAGUAGGUCUUAGUGAUCCGGUGGUUCUGUAUGGAAGGGCCAUCGCUCAACGGAUAAAAGGUACUCUGGGGAUAACAGGCUGAUACCGCCCAAGAGUUCAUAUCGACGGCGGUGUUUGGCACCUCGAUGUCGGCUCAUCUCAUCCUGGGGCUGAAGCAGGUCCCAAGGGUAUGGCUGUUCGCCAUUUAAAGAGGUACGCGAGCUGGGUUUAGAACGUCGUGAGACAGUUCGGUCCCUAUCUACCGUGGGCGCUGGAAAUUUGAGAGGAUCUGCUCCUAGUACGAGAGGACCAGAGUGGACGAACCUCUGGUGUACCGGUUGUGACGCCAGUCGCAUCGCCGGGUAGCUAUGUUCGGAAGGGAUAACCGCUGAAAGCAUCUAAGCGGGAAGCCUACCUCAAGAUAAGAUUUCCCUAGGACUUUAUGUCCUCUAAAGAGCCGUUCGAGACUAGGACGUUGAUAGGUUGGAUGUGGAAGCAUAGUGAUAUGUGAAGCUGACCAAUACUAAUUGCUCGUGAGGCUUGACUAU